rnacentral:rRNA from 1 species
AAAUUGAAGAGUUUGAUCAUGGCUCAGAUUGAACGCUGGCGGCAGGCCUAACACAUGCAAGUCGAACGGUAACAGAAAGAAGCUUGCUUCUUUGCUGACGAGUGGCGGACGGGUGAGUAAUGUCUGGGAAACUGCCUGAUGGAGGGGGAUAACUACUGGAAACGGUAGCUAAUACCGCAUAACGUCGCAAGACCAAAGAGGGGGACCUUCGGGC